GACGAACGCUGGCGGCGUGCUUAACACAUGCAAGUCGAACGGAAAUGCCCUGCUUUUGUGGGGUGCUCGAGUGUCGAACGGGUGAGUAACACGUGAGUAACCUGCCCUUGACUUUGGGAUAACUUCAGGAAACUUGGGCUAAUACCGGUUAGGAGCUCCUGCUGCAUGGUGGGGGUUGGAAAGUUUCGUCGGUUGGGGAUGGACUCGCGGCUUAUCAGCUUGUUGGUGGGGUAGUGGCUUACCAAGGCUUUGACUGGUAGCCGGCCUGAGAGGGUGACCGGCCACAUUGGGACUGAGAUACGGCCCAGACUCCUACGGGAGGCAGCAGUGGGGAAUAUUGCACAAUGGGCGGAAGCAUGAUGCAGCAACGCCGCGUGCGGGAUGACGGCCUUCGAGUUGUAAACCGCUUUCGCCUGUGACGAAGCGUGAGUGACGGUAAUGGGUAAAGAAGCACCGGCUAACUACGUG
rnacentral:rRNA from 1 species